GUGAGGAAUAUUGGUCAAUGGGCGAGAGCCUGAACCAGCCAAGUCGCGUGAAGGAAGACGGCCCUACGGGUUGUAAACUUCUUUUGCAAUGGAAUAAAAAGAGUUACGUGUAAUUCAUUGUAUGUACAUUGCGAAUAAGGAUCGGCUAACUCCGUGCCAGCAGCCGCGGUAAUACGGAGGAUCCGAGCGUUAUCCGGAUUUAUUGGGUUUAAAGGGUGCGUAGGCGGAUUGGAAAGUCAGCGGUGAAAGUUUGCAGCUUAACUGUAAAAUUGCCAUUGAAACUGUCAGUCCUGAGUGCAAAUGAGGUAGGCGGAAUGUGUUGUGUAGCGGUGAAAUGCAUAGAUAUAACACAGAACACCAAUUGCGAAGGCAGCUUACUGGGAUGCAACUGACGCUGAGGCACGAAAGCGUGGGGAUCAAACAGGAUUAGAAACCCUGGUAGUCC
rnacentral:rRNA from 1 species